CCUACGGGUGGCAGCAGUGGGGAAUAUUGGACAAUGGGGGGAACCCUGAUCCAGCCAUGCCGCGUGUGUGAAGAAGGCCCUCGGGUUGUAAAGCACUUUCAGUGAGGAAGAACGCCUGGUGGUUAAUACCCAUCAGGAAAGACAUCACUCACAGAAGAAGCACCGGCUAACUCCGUGCCAGCAGCCGCGGUAAUACGGAGGGUGCGAGCGUUAAUCGGAAUUACUGGGCGUAAAGCGCGCGUAGGUGGCUUGAUAAGCCGGUUGUGAAAGCCCCGGGCUCAACCUGGGAACGGCAUCCGGAACUGUCAAGCUAGAGUGUAGGAGAGGAAGGUAGAAUUCCCGGUGUAGCGGUGAAAUGCGUAGAGAUCGGGAGGAAUACCAGUGGCGAAGGCGGCCUUCUGGACUGACACUGACACUGAGGUGCGAAAGCGUGGGUAGCAAACAGGAUUAGAUACCCCUGUAGUC
rnacentral:rRNA from 1 species